rnacentral:misc_RNA from 1 species
GAUGAAGAACGUAGCGAAAUGCGAUAAGUAAUGUGAAUUGCAGAAUUCAGUGAAUCAUCGAAUCUUUGAACGCACAUUGCGCCCGCUAGUAUUCUGGCGGGCAUGCCUGUCCGAGCGUCAUUUCAACCCUCAAGCCCCCGGGCUUGGUGUUGGGGAUCGGCGAGCCUCCGCGCCCGCCGUCCCCUAAAUCUAGUGGCGGUCUCGCUGUGGCUUCCUCUGCGUAGUAGCACACCUCGCACUGGGAAACAGCGCGGCCACGCCGUUAAACCCCCAACUUCUGAACGUUUGACCUCGGAUCAGGUAGGAAUACCCGCUGAACUUAAGCAUAUCAAUAAGCGGAGGA